rnacentral:rRNA from 1 species
GACGAACGCUGGCGGCGUGCUUAACACAUGCAAGUCGAACGGUGAAGCGCCUUCCUUUUUGGUGGGUGUGGAUGAGUGGCGAACGGGUGAGUAACACGUGAGUAACCUGCCCCCUUCUUCUGGAUAACCGCAUGAAAGUGUGGCUAAUACGGGAUAUUCUGGGUCUGUCGCAUGAUGGGUCUGGGAAAGAUAUUGUUUCGGUGGGGGAUGGGCUCGCGGCCUAUCAGCUUGUUGGUGGGGUGAUGGCCUACCAAGGCGGUGACGGGUAGCCGGCCUGAGAGGGUGGACGGUCACAAGGGGACUGAGACACGGCGAAGACUCCGACGGGAGGCAGCAGUGGGGAAUAUUGCACAAUGGGCGCAAGCCUGAUGCAGCGACGCCGCGUGAGGGAUGGAGGCCGUCGGGUUGUGAACCUCUUUAGCCAGUGAAGCAGGCCUGCCUCGUUUGUGGGUGGGUUGAUGGUAGCUGGAUAAGAAGCGCUGGCUAACUACGUG